UACAGAGGUCCCAAGCGUUGUUCGGAUUCAUUGGGCGUAAAGGGAGCGUAGGCGGGUUCUUAAGUAAGGUGUUUAAUCCCGGGGCCCAACCCCGGACCGGCACUUUAAACUGGGAAUCUUGAAUAGUGGAGAGGUCGGUGGAAUUUCCGGUGUAGCGGUGAAAUGCGUAGAUAUCGGGAGGAACAUCAGUGGCGAAGGCGACCUUCUGGGCUGUACCUGACACUGAGGCACGAAAGCAUGGGGAGCGAACAGG
rnacentral:rRNA from 1 species